AUAUCUUUUGUCUGAUUAAUUAAUCUCACCUUCUAUUUGCAUAACAGGACUGAAUCAAACAUAAAAUAAAUUGCACUACCAUAAUCUAGUUUCAGAGUUUUUUUUUUUUUAAGAUUUUAUUUAUUUAUUCAUGAGAGACACAGAGAGAAAAACAGAGACGCAGGCAGAGGGAGAAGCAGGCUCCAUGCAGGGAACCCGAUGUGGGACUUGAUCCCAGGACUCCAGGAUUAGGCCUUAGGCUGAAGGCAAGGUCUAAACCGCUGAGCCACCCAGGGAUCCCCUAGUUUCAGAGUUUUUAAGUAUAUUACAUUCUCAAAUCAAAUUGAGAAAAUCCAUUUCUAAAAUUUCUCUGUGGAAUCCUGAAAUUAUUGUGAAACCAAUUUAAGGUUAUAUUUUAAAUUGUUUUCUCAGUUUCAGAUAUUUAUAUUUAUAAAGAUUUUAUUUAUUCAUGAGAUAUACACAGAAGGGCUGACACACAGGCAGAGGGAGAAGCAGGCUCCCUGCAGUGAACCUGAUGUGGGACUCAAUCCCGGGACUCUGGGAUGAUGCCCUGAGCCAAAGGCAGAUGCUCAACCACUGAGCCACCCAGGUGUCACCAGAUAUUUGUAUUUAUAAACAAGGAAUAAGUUUUACAUUUAUUUAGUGAGAGGCAAAGAAGAUUAUUAUUUUGGAUGAAAUAUAUUUUCUUUUUUUAGUACAAUAUCUUAAUACCCUUUAGUUUGAUGUAAUUAUGGUGAACUUUCUUCUAAAAUGUAGUUUCAUUCCAGCUUUUUUUCUUCAAAGGACAUAGUAAAAAGGUAGAGAAAGGUCAUGAUUAUGUAACUUAUUUUGGAAACUAUUUAAAUUUUAAAUUAAUUAUAGUCUAACAGUGGUCAGUGUUCUCAAGAAAAAAAAAUUCUGAUAAAAUAUCACAACAUGACAUUGCUUUUUUUCCCCUUAGGAAUAGUUAUUCUGAAGGUCCUAAAUAAGAAAGGAGUACACUCCUAUGAUUAUCAGAUGAAGAAGCUCCAGAGAAGAAAAUAG
rnacentral:lncRNA from 12 species